UGGGAAUGAAGCGGCAGCUAAGCAGCAACUAGGCGAGCACUUGAAAGAGAGAGGCAAUGGCAGAGACAAGAUUGAUUAAGAUCGAAGAAGAUCAGUGGAUGACUCCUCCUGAGGUAUGUAUAUUGGUUCUCAAGUUUUUCAUAUCUACAAUCGCUUUGAUAACCUGCCUCCUGAGGUUCCAGCUUUUUCCCGACAAGCACAUCAAUUUUUUUCUCUAAAGGCCUUGGACAUCUCGCUCCAUCCUUCUGCGUCUUGGAUGCCAAGAACUUUUUUACUCUUAUUCUUAUCUCUUAAUUUAUCACAUCAAUGUAUGAAUUGCAGAGUCUGAUAACUGGGUUUUAUGAAUUUGGUUUGCAUCA